GACGAACGCUGGCGGCGUGCUUAACACAUGCAAGUCGAACGGAAAGGCCCUGCUUUUGUGGGGUGCUCGAGUGGCGAACGGGUGAGUAACACGUGAGUAACCUGCCCUUGACUUUGGGAUAACUGCAGGAAACUGGGGCUAAUACCGGUUAUGAGCUCCUGCUGCAUGGUGUGGGUUGGAAAGUUUCGGCGGUUGGGGUUGGACUCGCGGCUUAUCAGCUUGUCGGUGGGGUAGUGGCUUACCAAGGCUCUGACGGGUAGCCGGCCUGAGAGGUUGACCGGCCACAUUGGGACGGAGCUACGGCCCAGAAUCCUACGGGAGGCAGCAGUGGGGAAUAGUGCACAAUGGGCGGAAGCCUGAUGCAGCAACGCCGCGUGCGGGAUGACGGCCUUCGGGUUGUAACCAGCAUUCGCCUGUGACGAAGCGUGAGUGACGGUAAUGGGUAAAGAAGCACCGGCUAACUACGUG
rnacentral:rRNA from 1 species